AGGUACCCACGAAGGAGGCUCCGGAUUAGCUGCAGCACCGUCAAUGGGUCACCUGCCGGCUUAGCCUCUUCAUCCUCUCCAUCAUCGAUGCACAAGGUAGUUGCUAGGCCAUCUCCACAUCACAGGUUAUGUAUAGAAUUGAAAAUCAUGGAUGUUGUCACCCAGCCAUAAUCGGCCAUCUAGUGCUGCAGCCCUCCCUGACCAUCUGAGGGAAGGCCUCCAGUUCAGUUACUUAUAGAGAUGGCUGAUAAUUAAUGAGUUUUGAAGGCCCAGUUCAGUUACUUACAAAGCUGACUGAAAAAUGAGGAGUUUUACAAGUGGUUUUCAUCAUAAACAAGAGUUUUUAAUGUGGUUUUCAUCAUAACAUGGUUUUUUGCAAUCAAGGUCUUGUAUAAAAAUGGUGUGUCAUGCGAUAUCAUCGAUCUAUUUGGGAUGUGUGGCCGAGGCAUUUCAGAACCGCUAGGUGCUAUCCACCUGAUGCAUAUAUAAAUGAUGAGGGCUUUCACAGAACUAUCAUAUGGUGUCUGUAAUGCCGCAUCAAAGGAGUCACGCCACACCUAAAGCAUUGUUUGCCGGUCUAUCUCUAUGCUAUACUUCAAUGUGACCACAAGCAGUAAAGCAAGUUAGGUUGAAGUUAAAUUCGAGAGGAUAGCUCAAACAACGUUACUACUAAUAACUUUUUUUUCCUUCUGUUUCCCUUCCCAAUAUGCUACACUUAUUGUCCUGUCAAAUGCAACUAUGGCUUCUACUUUUCUAAAUCUGGGAGGGUUUUUCUAAAGAAGUAAUGAGCCAUAUUUUGUUUAGUUAAUUUCGCAAGUGAUUGGACUGUAUCUUCAUUUAUGUUCAUGAAGUGCUUAGUAUUUCGGGGUGCUGCUUGAUGCACAUGGUUUUACGAUGAAGCUUAUCAGUAGCAUUUUUUUGAUUGCAGAGAAGGAAAAUGGUCACUAGAAGGCUCAGAUCGUUUAGGUUCUCCUCCCAGGUUCUCUCUCAAGAUCCCAUCUUUCUACAUAGAUUCGGGAAAGAAGAUCACAACGGUGGCUUGCCCGGUAACAGACUCGAGGAAAGACAUAGAUUGAGAUCUUAACUUGGUGGAUUUACUUAAUGCACUAACACUCACAUGUAUGUGUUAUCUACAAUUUCACCUCUAAGCUUUGAACUUGAAGCUGUAUUGAAGUUGGAUAGAUAUCAGGUGAGUUUUCCCAACAUAUGGGUUGUAUAGCCAGAUUACUUUUUUGUAACUUUUUAAGUUAAUUCAUAUGGAAUGAGCAGCCUAAUAUCUCUGUUAAUGC